CCUCUAAGGCAUUUGUUUAGCUAAUUAUUUGUUGAAGUUGUUAUCUAUUUUGGUGAAGGGCCAGGUUAAUAAUUACAUAUGUAAAAGGAAAUGAUAACGCUAAAUCUAUUUACCGAUUGGCACCGGGUGAUGACGUCACUUCCGGUUUUAGCGAUUUCACGCUAGUAAGAAAGAUGGCAGACAUAAGGCUCUUGUUCGCGGCAUGUGUAUUCAUUUUCAUCUGUUAGGAAACGUGAUAGAAGCAAUGCCAUUCCAUCAGGCAACAAUAUAACAGGAAACAAACUACUGGCUGUGAGAGCUCCAUACUUGGACUUCACUACAU